AUUGAACGCUGGCGGCAGGCUUAACACAUGCAAGUCGAGCGGAGCGAGGGUGCUUGCACCUUAGCUUAGCGGCGGACGGGUGAGUAAUGCUUAGGAAUCUGCCUAUUAGUGGGGGACAACAUUCCGAAAGGAAUGCUAAUACCGCAUACGCCCUACGGGGGAAAGCAGGGGAUCUUCGGACCUUGCGCUAAUAGAUGAGCCUAAGUCGGAUUAACUAGUUGGUGGGGUAAAGGCCUACCAAGGCGACGAUCUGUAGCGGGUCUGAGAGGAUGAUCCGCCACACUGGGACUGAGACACGGCCCAGACUCCUACGGGAGGCAGCAGUGGGGAAUAUUGGACAAUGGGCGGAAGCCUGAUCCAGCCAUGCCGCGUGUGUGAAGAAGGCCUUUUGGUUGUAAAGCACUUUAAGCGAGGAGGAGGCUACUAGUAUUAAUACUACUGGAUAGUGGACGUUACUCGCAGAAUAAGCACCGGCUAACUACGUGCCAGCAGCCGCCGUAAUAC
rnacentral:rRNA from 1 species